ACAAUCCCGGUGACGUUACAUCUGGAGGACAAGCAAACGCCACAUGUAAAUAACAAAGCAAUAUUAUUGUUAAGGAUGGUUAACUUUAGCGCAAUUUUUGGCUGUUUGAAGCGUGCUGAUACGGAUAAGGAAUUAAGUUUUUAUCGCAUACCAGCUGUGAAAACCAAUGCGAGCAAACUAUUGCAAGAUUUACAAAAGGAACGUCGUUCUAUGUGGCUUCGAAGAAUUCGUUGGGCAGACAUUGAUGAUUCUAAAUGCACGUAUUUACGAGUGUGUAUCCUUCAUUUUGUUACUGGAAAACCAUCAGCUUUAACGGACCAAACUAAUCCAGACUGGGCUCCAUCUCAAAACCUUGGACAUACAUAUGUCGAAAAAGUUGAUGUCGAUCACUAUGCUCGUAUUUCGGAAA